GGCGGGGUUUCCAAUACCUCGUGGAUUGGGAGGGUUACGGUCCUGAGGCGAGACAAUGGAUACCUCGGUGCCAGAUCGUGGAUGCCGGUCUGCUUCGGGACUUCUAUAGGCUCCAUCCUGGUGCUCCGGGUGGUCCGCCCGGUGGCGUCCGUCGGAGGGGGGGUACUGUCAGGAAUUCAGCUUCCUGAACUGGGUUUCUGUUACAUUUCCAUUCUAACCUGAAGUUGUUUUUUCUGAGUUUCCCCAAACACACCCUGACUGAUUAUUCAACCAUCGACACCUGCUGCCGCCUGCACACCCGGUCCUGAUUACCAUCCCCUUUAAGCCGUGACCAGACUACCAGUCCCUGCCGGAUCGUAGCGUACCACCUCAUCCCUUGGAUCGCCCUUUCCCCCUGCCUAGCCGCUGACCCCACUCAUCCCCACCCAACCGGACCAGACCUUCCCCACACUUUUUCCAUAAUAAAUACCCACCGUUCAUUUUGA